rnacentral:rRNA from 1 species
GACGAACGCUGGCGGCGUGCCUAACACAUGCAAGUCGAACGGAAAGGCCCUGCUUUUGUGGGGUGCUCGAGUGGCGAACGGGUGAGUAACACGUGAGUAACCUGCCCUUGACUUUGGGAUAACUUCAGGAAACUGGGGCUAAUACCGGAUAGGAGCUCCUGCUGCAGGGUGGGGGUUGGAAAGUUUCGGCGGGUGGGGCUGGACUCGCGGCUUAUCAGCUUGUUGGUGGGGUAGUGGCUUACCAAGGCUUUGACGGGUAGCCGGCCUGAGAGGGUGACCGCGCACAAUGGUACUGCGAGACGGCCCAGACUCCUACGUGAGGCAGCGGUGGAGAAUAUUGCACAGUGGGCGCACGCGUGAUGCGGCGACGCCGCGUGCGGGAAGCCGUCUUUCGUGUUGUGAACCGCUGUCGCCUGUUACGAAGCGUUAGUGACGUUAAUGGGUGAAUAAGCACCGGCUAACUACGUG